AGCUUCAGUAGCGUAUAUUAAAGUUGUUGCAGUUAAAAAGCUCGUAGUCGCAUUUCUGGCGAGAGGAUCCGGUCCGACCUUUUGGUGGGUUCUUGGUUCUCUUUCGCCAUCCUUGAGUGGUCCGUUCUGGCAUUAGUUUGUCGGAGCGUCAGCCGCUCAUCGUUUACUGUGAGAAAAUUAGAGUGUUCAAAGCAGGCUUAUGCCGUUGAAUAUAUUAGCAUGGAAUAAUAAGAUAGGACCUAGGUAAUAUUUUGUUGGUUUGAGAACCAAGGUAAUGAUGAACAGGGACAGUUGGGGGUAUUUGUAUUUCGUUGUCAGAGGUGAAAUUCUUAGAUUUACGAAAGACAAACUACUGCGAAAGCAUUUACCAAGGAUGUUUUCA
rnacentral:rRNA from 1 species